UUUCCUGUGAAUGGAUGCAGAAUGGUCAGAGAGGUUCAUACAACACAUUCCUUCAAAAUCCUCACACCCGUGCCCAUGUGCUAACAGCAAAAAAUCUAUAGCAGCUCUAUUUUGCAGUGUGCUACGUCUAAUACUAUCUACAUGAGUGAGCAUUUGAUUUAAGAUAGCUGAAGUUGUGUUCAGCUGUUUGACUGUCUAGCAUCCCAACUUGUGAAGCAUAGCCAAAACUUCAGCAGCAGCAACCUCUGGAGUAAGGAAUGAUGCUAUUAUUUGUGCUGGAGCACCCCAAAUUCUACAUGAUUGUCACAAUCAGGUCCUAAGCUUGUCAUUGCUCUUCUAGUUCUCUUGCUAUGUCCUGCUCUCCAAACAGUCAGAUCCAGCAUUUCGCACAUGCGAGUGUCAAACAUGGUUAGCUUUCCUAAAUAACAAGGACCACCAAUUGGAUUUCUCAGAAGUGCAGGCCAUGCCCUGUCCCCAGAGAUUAAAAGGACACCUGGUGGAAGCCUUCUUACAGUCGCAUUUUCAUCAGCACUUCCAGGAUAAGUCCAAUUGUGGCAAUAUUUGGUCAAGUUCUUAUACUGGGGAGAAUUGGGAUUAAGGAUGACACUAUUAUUUUUGGGAUGUGGGACUAGGACAAUGGUCAUCUUAGUUGAUUUUGGGUUUAAAAAGUAGUUAAAAAACAAGCAGUAAUUCCCAGGUACCAAUCCUAGCAAGCCUAGUUCUUGGGGCCCUAGUCUGCUUUCAUUCAGUGAUUGUGUUCUCAUACCUGCUUGGAAGCCCCCUCUGUUUGGCCUAACUCCCAACCUUUUGCAUAUGUCCAAUUUUUUACCACCUCCGGUUGUGAUACACCAGUGAUUCUCCACACCUGAUCUAUUCCCUCCCACGUAUGGCUUUCCUCUGGCUCCUACCCAUUUCGCAAAGAAUAAAGUAAAAUUACUUAUUGGGAUACCAAUUAAACAUAUACAGAAGGGAUCUCCUGGCAUGGCUAAGGACAAACAAAAGGAGUCCACCCCAGUAGCAUUGGCCCAAGUAAGCCACAUAUUCUGCUGAUGCCAUCCUGGUGGGUCAAUUUCUUCUGCACUACCGAUGUUGCCACAUAUCACUAGUAACAGAGGAAGACUCCCAAAAACCCGCACAUCUAAUUUAAGACAAUUCUUCAUUCUUAUCACCGGAAAAACCCCUUCCUCUAAGAGAUCAGGGAUAAAAUCCAAACUGACUGUGCCUUUUGCUCUUUGCACUCUUCUCCUAUUCCUUCUCCUAUUCCUUCUCCUUUGGUUCUUCUCUUCCCACCUUCACUUUCUUUGUUCCCACUGCUCAAGUCUAACUCCCCAAGUCCCAGGGAUAAAUAUUCCUUUUCCACAUUCAAUAACCUUGAUCUUAUUCUCUCUCUCUUUUUUCUUGAGCUUCCAGACUUUGUUAUGAUGCCACUGAACAGACUGCCUCAACUGCUCCUGAGUGUCAGACAAGCUCAGCACUUCUUGACACAUCUGUGUCAACUCAAAGAGGGAAACCACAGGAGUUCCACCAAAAUAAAAGCACCUCAGCCCCCCAUGACCAAGCUACCGGCCAUGAUCUGUCAGAUCCCCUUGAAGGAACUGCUAGUAUGCAUGCCCAGGAAAGAAAUAAUAACCAGGGUUAGAGGGGCCCUGCCUCUAGCCAGGAAGAGGCACAGGAAAACCAGAUCUUCUGGAUGGUGUGGAUCUGAUGGCCUGGCACAUCAGAGCCACAAAAAUACGACGCCUUAGUUGAUAGUGGUGCUCAGUGUACCCUAAUGCCUUCAGGACAUGUGGGGGCAGAACCUGUUUCCAUUGCUGGGGUGACAGGGGGAUCACAGCAAUUGACACUGUUGGGAGCCAAGGUGAGCCUGACUGGAAAGGAGUGGCAGAAACAUCCUAUUGUGACUGGCCCAGAGGCCCCGUGUAUUCUGGGCAUAGACUUCCUCCAGAAUAGCUACUGCACAGACUCAAAGGGACUCAGGCAGGCUUUUGGAAUAGUUGCUGGAGAGGCAGAGAAUAUUAAGGAGUUGAACACCUUGCCUGGACUAUCAGAAAACCCAUCUGCAGUAGGACACCUGAAGGUGGAAGAGCAACGAGCGCCAAUUGCUACCUCAACCGUGCACCACUGGCAGUAUUGGACAAAUCGAGAUGUCUUGAUCCCCAUCCACAAAAUGAUUUGUGAGCUGGAGAGCCAAGGGGUGAUCAGCAAAACCCACUCACCCUUCAACAGCCCCAUUUGGCCUAUGCAAAUCUGACGGAGAAUGGAGAUUGACUGUGGAUUAUCGUGCCUUGAAUGAAGUGACUCCACCUCUGAGCGCUGCUGUGCCAGACAUGCUGGAACUCCAGUAUGAGCUGCAGUCCAAGGCACCAAAGUGGUACGCCACUAUUGACUUUGCCAACGCAUUUGUCUCCAUUCUGCUGGCAGCAGCAUGCAGGCCUCAGUCUGAUUUCACCUGGAGGGGCGUGCAGUACACCUGGAACCGACUGCCCCAGGGGUGGAAGCACAACCCCACCAUCUGCCAUGGACUGAUCCAGGCUGCACUGGAAAAGGGUGAAGCUCCAGAACACCUGCACUACUUUGAUGACAUCAUUGUGUGGGGGAACAUGGCAAUGGAAGUAUCUGAGAAAGGAGAGAAGAUCAUCCAGAUUCUGCUGGAAGCUGGCUUCGCCAUCAAGAAGAGCAAAGUCAAGGGACCUGCCUGAGACAUCCAGUUCCUGGGAAUAAAGUGGCAAGAUGGACGGCAUCAGAUUUUGACUGAGGUCAACAAUAAGACCACCAUGAAGUCUCCAUCGACCAACAAGAAGGAAACACAAGCUUUCCUCGGUGCCUUAGGCUUUUGGAGAAUGCACGUUCCCGAGUACAGCCAGAUUGGGAGCCCUCUCUCCCUGGUCACACACAAGAUGAAUGAUUUCCACUGGGGCCCUGAGCAGCAACAAGCCUGUGCCCAGAUCAACAGGAGAUCACUCAUGCAGUAGCCCUUGGCCCAGUCAUGACAGAACCAGAGGUGAAGAAUGUGCUUUACUCUGAAGCUGGGAGCAAUGGCUUGUCCUGGAGCCUUUGGCAGAAGAUGUCUGGGAAGACUUGAGGCUGACCACUGGGAUUCUGGAGCCGAAGUUGGAGAGGGUCCGAAGCCAACUACACUCCUACAGAGAAGGAAAUCUUGGCCUCCUAUGAAAAAGUUCAAGCGGCCCCGGAGGUGAUUGGCACGGAAACACAACUCCUCCUGGCACCCCAACUACCAGUGCUGGGGUGGAUGCUUAAAGGAAAUGUUCCCACUACCCACCAUGCCACCAAUGCCACAUGGAGCAAAUGGAUUGCCCUCACCACACAGCAUGCCCGUAUUGGAAACCUGAAUUGCCCUGGGGUUUUGGAGAUAAUUACAAACUGGCCAGAAGGUGAAAACUUUGGUCUCACUGACAAAAAGGAGCAGGAACAAGUGUCACGACCUCCACCGUACAACCAACUACCAGCAGAGGAAACACACUAUGCUCUUUCCAUUGACGGCUCCUGUUGCAACGUAGGGAUGAACCAGAAGUGGAAAGCAGCCAUGUGGAGGCUCACACGACAGGUUGCACAAGCUACCAAAGGAGAAGGUGGAUCACGUCAACUUACUGAACUCAAGGCCGUUGAGCUGGCCCUGGACAUUGCUGAAAGAGGGGUUAUCCAUGACUGUGAGACAUGUGCUGCCAUCAAACAGCCCAAGCGAGUGAAGCCCCUGUGGUAUGGUGGGCAGUGGUCCAACUACAAGUAUGGGGAGGCCUGGCAGAUUGACAACAUCACACUGCCCCAGACACGCCAAGGCAAGCGCUACGUGCUGACCAUGGUGGAAAUCACCACAGGAUGGAUGGAGACUUACCCUGUGCCUCACGCUACUGCCCAGAACACCAUUCUGGGCUUGGAAAAGCAAGUCCUGUGGAGGCAUGGUACCCCUGAGAGUCCGCCAACAGGACUCUCAUUUCAAGAACAUUUCAAGAACAGCCUUAUCAACACCUGGGCUAGGAAACAUGGCACUGAGUGGGUGUACCAUAUUCCUCAGCAUGCACCAGUGGCUGGGAAAGCUGAGCAGUGCAAUGGCCUGCUUGAAACCACCCUGAAGGCACUGGGUGGGGGGACUUUCAAGAACUGGGAGAUUAAUUUAGCAAAGGCCACAUGGUUAGUGACACCUGAGGUUCCACUAACCAAGCAGACCCUUCCCAAUCUGAGCCCUUGCAAACAACAGAUGGAGAUAAGGUUCCAGGGGUACAUAGGAGAGGUAUGCUGGGGAAAACUGUUUGGGUUAAUUCAGCCUCCAGCAAAGACAAUCCCAUCCGUGGGGUUUUCUUCACUCAGGGUCCAGGUUGCACCUGGUGAGUGAUGCAAAAGGAUGGAGAGACCCAAUGUAUACCUCAAGGGGACCUUGUUCUUGGAAGAACUACCCAUGACACUCUGCCUGUAUCUGGAUCUGCAUGUAUAGAUGUAUGUAAUUUUUAAAGGUUUAAACGUUCUCUCUUUAUCACCUUAGAAUUUCUUCCCAUUGAGUUGCUAAUGGGAACUGAUGGCUUGAGCUGGAUGGGGAAUGGAAACUAGGUUUUUUGGGAGUUUCUCUGGCUGGCACUGGAGACAUAGGCUGGGGAGGGAAUUCGCCACCAAUGCGAGACUGCAUCUCUGCUGCCUUCUCCUACCACCACCACAACCCAGCAGGGAACCUUU